ensembl:lncRNA uncharacterized LOC114867296
ACACGUCGUCCAAUCACGGCCAGUAAACGGGGGUCACGUGACACGACAGCUGCGCAACGAAGGACUGGAUUGCAACAACUGAUAUGGAGGCGUCAUGUUCACACUAGAGAGAUACUGGACGGAGGAGAAAGAGAGGGUGCUCAUAGCGUUUUUCUCCAAGCACAGCUGUCUGUGGAACCACAAGUCAGAGAGUUACAAGAACCGACAGCUGCGAUGGAGAACCCUGGACCACCUGAGGAUCCUGCUGUCAGCUCACCCCCCACCGGUUCCGUUCAGCGGUAAGAAUACAGGCAGGAAUCCAAGGGUGCAUUUACUAUGGAAGGCAAACAGUCAGCUCUGUUAUGUUUUUUUUUCCAGUGGAAGACAUUAAGAACAAGUUCAAGAACCUUCGUACCACGUUCCACCGCCAGUACAAAAUGGUGAAGGCGAGCAAGGGGCUCGGGUCAGAAGACGCCUUCGUGCCACAGUGGAAGUACUAUCAGCAGAUGAUGUUUCUGCAGGGCAGCUCGGACCAAGGCGUCUGGGUCGAUGACCUACCGCCGUCACCACCUGACGUCCCAGAGGCAGCGCCGCAGCCCGUUUCCUCCUGCUUUCCUCCCAGCGUGUCCGCCUCCGCUGCACCCAGUUGUGUCCUGUCCGGCAUGAUGAUUAAAUGUGUCUGGACCGAAGAAAGGGAGCGAGUGGUCAUCGCUUUCUUCUCCGAGCACAGCUGUCUGUGGAACAAGAAAUCUGAAAACCACAACAACCGUCAGCUCAGACUGAGGCUGCUGGAGGCUCUGAGGAACCAGCUGUCCGAUCACGCCGUGUCCUUCUCAGUUGAAGACAUAAAAUGCAAGUUCAAGAACCUGCGGACAGUUUUUAAUCGCGAAUACAAGGCGGUCCAGACCAGCAGGGCCUCUGAUAAACCCUACGUGUCCAAAUGGAAGCACUACCAGCAGCUGCUCUUCCUCUUAGACUCCUGCGAAGAAGGCGGCAGCGCAGAGGAGCUUCAGGCACUAACGCCACAGGAAGACGGGGAUCUAGAGGAUCUGAGCAGCACCGCCUGCAGCUCCACCCAAGCCGAAAGCAUGAGGACCAGUCGAAGGCCUGCUCGCCACAGCUCUGCACAGAGUGAUGACCCGCCCAGCGGAGGCCCUGCAUCCCAGAUCUGCUCCGCUGUGUCUCCAAAUGUCAAAGCACACGACCAGCCAGCUCCUUCUGCAUCCUCACCUUCAUCUACUAAAUCGCCAGACGGCUGCGCAGACGCAGUUCAGGCAGACGUCGGACUGAGUGCGGACUCUCGCUGCCGCUGGAGCGACGCCAAAGUUCAACAGCUCAUAUUGUUUUACUCCAAUCACAGUUGUCUGUGGAGCCAUAAGUCCGAGAGCUACAGGAACCGCCUGCUGAGACAGAGCCUUUUAGAGACACUGAGCAGCCUCCUGUCUGACUGUGAGCCAGUCCCGUUUACAGUGGAAGACAUAAAGACAAAGUUCAGGAAUUUGCGAACCACAUUUCAACGUGAGCACAAAGCCAUCAGCUCAAACAGAACCUGCGGCUCGGAGGACUUUUACCUCCCCAAGUGGAAGCACUACGGUCAGCUGAUGUUCCUCUGCGAGUCCUGCGACGAGGACAAGCAACCCGAAGGCGACCGCUUCCAGGAACCGCAAAAGCCGGGCCUCCUCCUGCGCAGCCAGGCGCCUCCUGAGCCGCUACAACGCUUCACCACCACUCAGUCUGCAGCCACACUCAAAGCCCCACCCUCGCCUACUCCCCCAGACUCCCAGCACUCGUCUCCCUGUUCCUCCCCGUCUCCCUCCACGUCCUCCUCUCGUACCGACAGCAGGAUCUCCACACGCAAGCGGUCCAGCCAUCAAGCGCCGCACACCAACAGCGACAUGCUGGAUUUUAUGAGGACAUUCUGCCAAAGCCAAACGGCGUCACCACAUGCUGGGUUCCUGAAGUAUGUGGAGGAGUGUCUGAACGAGACGCCGCCUGACAAAGUGAAGAAGCUGAAGAAGAUGAUCAUCGAGACGAUUCACAGCGUGUCAGAGGACGCUUCCUGAGGAAGUGGAAGAGUCACAUAUUUGUCACUGUCAACAAAAAGUACAUUUAUCAACGUGUAUGCGCUAUACAUGAAGCCAAGAUAUGUGUGUAGAAGACAUUUAACACAUUACACAAAUAACUAAAUGCUGUGGGUCCUGACUUUGGUUUUAGGUGGAAGAGCUUCAGUCUUUAUUAGCUCAUUGGGCUCAUUAAAGCUAGGGCACAGGGACAUUAUGUUUGAUUAACCUUCAGGUCAGAGAAAAACCAAAGCCACUGGUGUGGAUGAUGAUAGAGAGACUGUCAUCCUUCCAUGUCUGCGUCAUGGGUUAAAUGGAAAUGAAUUGGAAGUGGUGGGCUCAUUAAAUUUGUAAAUCAUUGUUGUCAAAACAUUUUUGUCACAAAAACAAGAUCUUCAUUAAUCCAGAGGAGCCAUGAAAAAAAAACGUGUUUGUCAAAUAAUGCACCUUUCUAUUAAUUUAAAUUUCUGCACUUCUGAGAGAAGAAUUUAGAAGAGUGCAAAUGGUGCAGCAUAAGUACAUGAUCAUGGAUCAGCGUGAUUAUUGUUAUAUUAUUGAGCUAUUUAUGCUUGUGUUAACAAAACAUAAGUGCUUCUAAAUGUUGUAUUAUUAGUCUGACCCGUUAAUGGUAUUUUUACCAGUUUUUAAGGUCAGUAUCCACCAUAAGAAUAAAUCUAUGCACACAGAGUUUAUAUAUAUUAAU